rnacentral:sRNA from 1 species
GCUAGGCAUGCUGGUGCAUGCCUGCAAUCCCAGCUACUCAGGAGGCUGAGGCAGGAGGAUCAAAAGUUCAAGAAGUCCAGCAUAGGCAACUUAAUGAGACUCUGUCUCAA